AUCUUUGCGCAUGGGGCAAUGACGCAGUUAGUAAGGUGAAACCGAGACGCGUCAAUUUCUGGUUGAAAACUAUUUCCAAUUUCCAUAUUGUGUGAGGAAUGCGACUCUGCCUUGAGUCUUGCCCAGGGUCCCUUGUAAUGUUUGAAAUCCGG
rnacentral:snRNA from 1 species